UACUUUCACUUUCGAUUUACCACUUCCGGGUACAUUGGCAGACUUAUUUACCGUUGUGCAUAUAGGUAACCCGAAGAACUCGAGGGAUAUAGAAGUUAAAUUUGUUUCGGUCCUCUUCAGAUUUAAAGGAAUGGAUAGCACGGGUCAAAAAAUGCAGAUAAAAAGGGAAAAGAUGAAGGAGGAUUUGUCCAUGAAGACCUUUAUUGCAACUACCAUCUUCCUGUUCCUUAAUUUGAGAAUGAUAUCAGAGAACACAAAGUUACAGUGAAAUAUUAGUUUAAUAUAAGCCACUGAGAAUAGUCAAAUGUACUUUCCUGAAGAAGAUGAAUGACAUCCAGCACAAGAAUCUUAAUGUAUAAAGAGUAUGAUUUUAAAGUGUUUGACACUAUGAUCUUGUUAACAUGUUAAUGCCACAAUGAUAGAAACAGAGUAAAAUAUCCACAUUUCAUUCAUAUGAAAUAAAGAUUAGCAAGACUAUUAUAUAUCAUCUACUACUAAUAUUGUGAGGUAAUCAUUGAUAAGCUCACAAAUUUGAAUUCAAAGCUUUGAUAUCAAGCUGAACAUUUUUCAAUUAGAAUAUGAUUUAUAACUCUAUGAUAAUUUGUUCAUGUUAAUUUUCAAAGUCUUUACAUUUGUAAAAGGAAAUAUUCUUAUUCUUGUAUCAGUAGACAUUCUCAGUGUAAAGUUACAUUGUUCAAAUAACUAAUAAUAAUUCCAAGUGCUUUCCUGAAGUUUUUCUUCCACUGGAAAAUCAGUGUGAUAUAUAUGCUAAGCAGUGCACUAUAAAUUUUGUAAAAAUAAAAGUUUAUUAAACCUA